UACAGACAGCCAGACACACGCAAGUUGCAAGUACUGGAAGUCUUAAGUCUUGUUACA
rfam:Zucchini aphid-borne yellows virus isolate XJ5, complete genome